AUUGAACGCUGGCGGCAGGCCUAACACAUGCAAGUCGAGCGAGCGGCGGACGGGUGAGUAAUGUAUGGGAAACUGCCCGGUGGAGGAGGAUCACUACUGGAAACUGUAGCUACUACCGCAUACCAUCGGAUGUGCCCAGAUGGGAUUAGCGUGUAGGUGAGGUAACGGCUCACCUAGCCGACGAUCCCUAGCUGGUCUGAGAGGAUGACCAGCCACACUGGAACUGAGACACGGUCCAGACUCCUACGUGAGGCAGCAUUGGGGAAUAUUGCACAAUGGGCGAAAGCCUGAUACAGCUAUGCCGCGUGUAUGAAGAAGGUCUUCGGUUUGUAAAGUACUUUCAGCGGGGAGGCGUUACCCGCAGAAGAAGCACCGGCUAACUCCGUGCCAGCAGCCGCGGUAAUUC
rnacentral:rRNA from 1 species